rnacentral:tRNA from 1 species
GUUUAUAGUAACUUAAAUUUAAAGUUUGAUAUUGAAGAUAUCAUUAUGGAUUAAAUCCCUUAAACA